rnacentral:rRNA from 1 species
AUUGAACGCUGGCGGCAUGCCUUACACAUGCAAGUCGAACGGCAGCACGGGAGCAAUCCUGGUGGCGAGUGGCGAACGGGUGAGUAAUGCAUCGGAACGUACCGUGUAAUGGGGGAUAACGUAGCGAAAGUUACGCUAAUACCGCAUACGACCUGAGGGUGAAAGCAGGGGAUCGCAAGACCUUGCGUUAUACGAGCGGCCGAUGUCAGAUUAGCUAGUUGGUGAGGUAAAGGCUCACCAAGGCGACGAUCUGUAGCGGGUCUGAGAGGAUGAUCCGCCACACUGGGACUGAGACACGGCCCAGACUCCUACGGGAGGCAGCAGUGGGGAAUUUUGGACAAUGGGGGCAACCCUGAUCCAGCCAUGCCGCGUGAGUGAAGAAGGCCUUCGGGUUGUGAAGCUCUUUCGGCCGGGAAGAAAUCGCACAGGCUAAUACCCUGUGUGGAUGACGGUACCGGCAUAAGAAGCACCGGCUAACUACGUGCCAGCCGCCGCUGUAAAAC